GGUCUUGUAUUCAUUGUGUGAUUAUAGAAUGCAAUUCUAUAGGGGUGAGUCAGAACUUAUCAAGGCCU
rnacentral:tRNA from 1 species